rnacentral:tRNA from 1 species
GCCGCUGUAGCUCAGCGGGAAGAGCGGCCGGCUUGUACCCGGCAGACCGGCGUUCGAAACGCCGCCGCGGCU